rnacentral:rRNA from 1 species
UCGAGAAUUUUUCUCAAUGGGGGAAACCCUGAAGGAGCGACGCCGCGUGGAGGAUGAAGGUCUUCGGAUUGUAAACUCCUGUCAUUGGUGAACAAGGACUCAUGGGUAACUACCAUGGGGAUUGAUAGUAGCCGAAGAGGAAGGGACGGCUAACUCUGUGCCAGCAGCCGCGGUAAUACAGAGGUCCCAAGCGUUGUUCGGAUUCAUUGGGCGUAAAGGGUGCGUAGGCGGCGAGGCAAGUCUGGUGUGAAAUCCCGGGGCUCAACCCCGGAACUGCACUGGAUACUGCUUUGCUAGAGUACUGGAGAGGGAACUGGAAUUUACGGUGUAGCAGUGAAAUGCGUAGAUAUCGUAAGGAAGACCAGCGGCGAAGGCGAGUUCCUGGACAGUUACUGACGCUGAGGCACGAAGGCCAGGGGAGCAAACGGG